AGCGAACGCUGGCGGCAGGCCUAAACACAUGCAAGUCGAACGCCCAGCAAUGGGAGUGGCAGACGGGAUAGUAACACGUGGGAACGCGCCCUUCGGUUCGGAAUAACUCAGGGAAACUUGAGCUAAUACCGGAUACGCCCUUACGGGGAAAGAUUUAUUGCCGAAGGAACGGCCCGCGUCGGAUUAGCUAGUUGGUGAGGUAAUGGCUCACCAAGGCGACGAUCCGUAGCUGGUCUGAGAGGAUGACCAGCAUCACUGGGACUGAGACACGGCCCAGACUCCUACGGGAGGCAGCAGUGGGGAAUAUUGGACAAUGGGCGCAAGCCUGAUCCAGCCAUGCCGCGUGGAUGAUGAAGGCCCUAGGGUUGUAAAGUCCUUUUAACGGGGAAGAUAAUGACGGUACCCGUAGAAUAAGCCCCGGCUAACUUCGUGCCAGCAGCCGCGGUAAUACGAAGGGGGCUAGCGUUGCUCGGAAUUACUGGGCGUAAAGCGCACGUAGGCGGGUCGAUAAGUCGGGGGUGAAAUCCUGGAGCUCAACUCCAGAACUGCCUUCGAAACUGUCGAUCUUGAGUUCGGGAGAGG
rnacentral:rRNA from 1 species